rnacentral:lncRNA from 1 species
AACUUUGAUAUGAUAGUUUCGAAGAUGACAGGUCGGUGGACCAUACGGUUAUAUAUAUUUGCCUUUCAUUUAUCAGUUGGCUGUUUUAAAAGAGGUUGGUUUUUUUGAAAACAUCCUUUUAAUUUAAAAUACUAUUUGAAACAUAGAGGUUUUUUUAUUAUGAAAAUGCACUGAAGCACACGUUGGGAUACACGUAUUUACAUUUGUCGCGCCAUCUAUAGAAGUUAUAAAAAUAUCCACUUUGAAACGCCGUAUACGAUUUCUUUGAGCUCACCUCAGACACCUGCUGCGAUUGUAAAUUUCAAAAAAUGAAACUGCCUUUGGGUUUAUUUAGUAUCUGUCAACUUUAAAGAUUAUUGCAUUGACUUCAUUGUUUUUGUAUUGGCAGGGCCAUGUGAGCUUUUGUCAUCACUUGGCAUCCGUCAUCGUUAAAUUUUACAAAAAGCUUCUCUGAAACUACUGAGCCAAAUUUAACCAAACUUGGCAACAUGAAAUCAUCAUUGGGUAUAUAGUUUAAAAAUGUGUUUGAUGACCCCGGCUGUCUGCAUGGUCGAAAUUGUCUGUCGACUCCUUGAAAAUUAUUGCCCUUUGGUGACGAAUUUUACCAAUUAUUUGCGUAUUUACCUUAUAACUUUAAAAUUAUAAUAGAUAGCUAGAUAAACAUAUAUAUCAGGAUAAUUGACAUCAAAGAGGAAAUUGCUACCUUUUUCUUAAACAAACUAUAAAGUUAACCAUAUUAUAUUUUUACGACAUUUAACAUUUAUUACAUUUUAUUGAAGUGUUUUUGGAAGCAGUUACACCAGUGGUCCUGGGACAUGAUGUCAAUAUUUUCUGUAAUGCAUCGGGAUUUGAUGACUGUUGUAACAGCAACACCAGACGAUGGUCUCGAAUAGUAAAUGGUUCUGAAACUGUGCUGCUUUUUCGAGGAGUGUCUAACUAUCCAGAAAAAUUUACAGAAGACGUGCAAACUGAUGGGUUCAGUAUGAUUUUAAAGACUUUGAACAAAAGCGACAUAGGUGUUUUAACUAUACUUGUUCGUACGGCUUUUACUCAUCAAAUCAAAUACUGAAAGAAAGUAGCAAUUCUAACGGUAAGUGCUUUUGUUAAUCUGCCUUUAAUUGCAAAUUAUAAUUAUGAUAAGAUAGAAUACGCAGCAUAAUAAAUUGCACUUCAGUCUUGAUCCUAACAGUUUACAAUGUUAAUGUCAAUCAUUAUUUAAGGAACAUAUUUUUAGAAAUAAAAUAAAUAAAAGUAUUGUGGUUUGCUCGUAAAAAAUAUUAUAUCUUUGUAUAAUCUAUUUUUUCAGGUACCAGCACAGGAGUUUCGAAGAACGGGAUUGACAUUUCAUUUGUUUCUGCAAUUAUGGGUUUAAUAAUCACUAGUUUUUGUUGACUUUAAUCUGCAUGUUUGUUUUGUGUUCAUCCUAAGAACGAAACUCACUCACGAUGUAAUCAUGAACGAAGAGCUUACUGAAAUAUUGAAGCUGAUUAUCAUUCCUCGUUAAAUAUAUGCAAAAUCUUGUAUUCUACAUACAUAGCAUUAAUGGAUAAGAUAGUUUCAUACCCUUUCCGUGUACAAAGUUACUAUUAUAGAUGCUUGACCACUUUUUAGAAACUAAGCAAGGAAUAUAGCUCUGCAUAGAAAUAGUCUUUUGAGGAAAUGGAGAUAGAAAGAAACAACAUAAGAGUAAAAGUUCCACUGACACUGGCUGACCCAAUCGAUUGUAUAGUUUCUAGUCAUUUUAGUUAUUAUAUUUGUAUGUCUGUACUUAUUUUAACAAUGUAGACACAGCUGCAAUGAAUUGAAGUAAUUUCAGUUCUCAAGAUUGUAGUUCCUAUAUCUGUAUACAAUCUGCCAAGGUAGGCACAGCUACAAGCGGUUGUUGUGUAAAGUUGUUUAAGCAUUUAACUUAUUUUAAUUGUAGUUUCUAUGUUUUUAUAAUCUUCGCUAGCCUAGGGUAAGGAUGAACUCAUCCCCUCUCCAUAGGGAGAGGACUGGAUCUUAACCCUUUGCUAGCAAAGAGGUGUUUCUAAUCGUUUCAGUUUCUUGUCAUAUACGUUACGAUUUUAGCUUCUAAGUUUCUAACAGUUUAGUUUUUGAGAAUUUAGUCUCUGUAUCUGUUAUAAAUCUGCCAGUAAUGCCUUCAGUACAUGUAUGUUAUAAAUUUCUAGUCAUUAAAGUUAUGUUUGAA